rnacentral:rRNA from 1 species
UACGAAGGGUGCAAACGUUGCUCGGAAUUAUUGGGCGUAAAGCGCACGUAGGCGGCAUUGCAAGUCGGAUGUGAAAUCUUAUGGCUUAACCAUAAAAGUGCAUCCGAAACUGCAGUGCUUGAGUACUUAAGAGGAUCGCGGAAUUCCCGGUGUAGUGGUGAAAUGCGUAGAUAUCGGGAGGAACACCAGUGGCGAAGGCGGCUUUCUGGCCUGUUCUUGACGCUGAGGCGCGAAAGCUAGGGGAGCGAACGGG